rnacentral:rRNA from 1 species
GUACAUAAUUUUAGAUAUAUUCAUUUUUUAUACUUAAUAAACUAAUUACAUUUAAGUCCUUCUUAUAUACACUUUUUAAAGUGUCUUUUAGCUACCAUAAUGUAACUCGCCUUAAUAACUUUAUGAUAGUCUGCACCUUGAUCUGUAAUAUUAGAUGUUUUAUCUAAUAAGACAAUAUAUUAUAUAUUAUCAGUUACGACGGCAUACAAAAUAUUACAUGAAGUAGAUUACCUUGGUGGUUAUCAAUUAUUUGGUAAGUUCCCCUAAAAUUUAAAAUUACCGUCAUGCUAUUUGAGUUUUAAUCAACAAGAUUUUAGUACCCAGUAUUUGUUAUUUGAUAUUGUAUAAAAGGGUAUCUAAUCCUUGUUUAUGUAUCAAUAUUAUAAAUAUAUUAGGUUAUAUAAGAUUAUAAAUGUUUAUUUCACCAAUAUUAAUAUAUAAACUUUAUAUACUACACAUAGUUUAUUACUAUAAAAGUCUGACCGCGACUGCUGGCACUUUUUAAGUCAUAGUAUAUAUAAUUGGUUUAUUCUUACUUUCGUAAAUUUUUAAAUUUUCUUUACUGGUAAAAUCUAUUUAGUACCAUAAGUAUUCCUAUUAUUUAUAAACAGUUCACCAU